GACGAACGCUGGCGGCGUGCUUAACACAUGCAAGUCGAACGGAAAGGCCCUGCUGUUGUGGGGUGCUCGAGUGGCGAACGGGUGAGUAACACGUGAGUAACCUGCCCUUGACUUUGGGAUAACUUCAGGAAACUGGGGCUAAUACCGGAUAGGAGCCCCUGCUGCAUGGUGGGGGGUGGAAAGUUUCGGCGGUUGGGGAUGGACUGGCGGCUUAUCAGCUUGUUGGUGGGGUAGUGGCUUACCAAGGGUUUGACGGGUAGCCGGCCUGAGAGGGUGACCGGCCACAUUGGGACUGAGAUACGGCCCAGACUCCUACGGGAGGCAGCAGUGGGGAAUAUUGCAGAAUAGGCGGAAGCCUGAUGCAGCAAAGCCGCGUGCGGGAUGACGGCCUUCGGGUUGUAAACCGCUUUCGCCUGUGACGAAGCGUGAGUGACGGUAAUGGGUAAAGAAGCACCGGCUAACUACGUG
rnacentral:rRNA from 1 species